AAUCCCCAGAUUCCUUCCCCAUCAGAUCUACACAUUAGUCCAACCAGCUGUAAAAGGAGGAAAAGUACAGUGGAACCAGACUUAGUUUCUCUUGUGAGGUACAGUAUACAAGUUCAUUUCAAACAAAC
rnacentral:snoRNA from 1 species